rnacentral:rRNA from 1 species
CCCUUAGAUGUUCUGGGCCGCACGCGUGCUACACUGAGUGGAUCAGCGGGUCAGGUUGCGCGAAAGUGUUUCCUAAUCUUGAAAUCCGCUCGUGAUGGGGAUUGACGGUUGCAAUUUUCCGUCAUGAACGAGGAAUACCUUGUAAGCGCGGGUCAUCAUCCCGCGCUGAAUACGUCCCUGCCCUUUGUACACACCGCCCGUCGCUCCUACCGAUUGAGUGGUCCGGUGAGGCUUUGGGAUCUGAGCGGAAAGAGCGUUUCGCUGUUUCUGCUCGGAAAACUCAGUCGAACCUCAUCAUUUAGAGGAAGGAGAAGUCGUAACA